ACGUAGUUUGAUCAUGGCUACAGAACGACGCUGGCGGCAGGCUUAACACAUGCAAGUCGAGCGCACCGCAAGGUGAGCGGCAGACGGGUGAGUAACGCGUGGGAAUCUACCCAGUUCUGCGGAAUAACACAGGGAAACUUGUGCUAAUACCGCAUAUGCCCUCCGGGGGAAAGAUUUAUCGGAAUUGGAUGAGCCCGCGUUAGAUUAGCUAGUUGGUAGGGUAAAGGCCUACCAAGGCCACGAUCGGUAGCUGGUCUGAGAGGAUGAUCAGCCACACUGGGACUGAGACACGGCCCAGACUCCUACGGGAGGCAGCAGUGGGGAAUAUUGGACAAUGGGCGCAAGCCUGAUCCAGCAAUGCCGCGUGUGUGAUGAAGGCCUUCGGGUCGUAAAGCACUUUUCUAAGAGAUGAGAAAGGACAGUAUCUUAGGAAUAAGUCUCGGCUAACUACGUG
rnacentral:rRNA from 1 species